AUGGCACGACUGAACCACUGGGGCCAGGAUUUUGGCACGAGUUGGGGAUGCUCUGUUGCUGAGACGGCCGUGCCAGCCGACACACGGCCAGAGGGCACCCCAGAACCCCCACCCAUCACCACAAGUCCCUCCUCCGCUCUCCCCUUCCCAAUUUCCCGGGCCCCCCUAAGCAGCAGACGGAUGCUGGGUAAGAGGUGUGUCUGUGGGAGCCGUCCUCGCCACGCAGCAUCGCCGGUCUGCUGUCCCUGCCAUCCCUGCCAGCCCUGCCAGCCCUGCCAGCCCUGCCAUCACUGCUGUCCUUGUCAUCUCUGCUGUCCCUGCCAGCCCUGCCAGCCCUGCAAGCCCUGCCAGCCCUGCCAGCCCUGCCAGCCCUGCCAGCAUUGCCAUCACUGCCAUCCCUGGCUGUCCUUGUCAUCUCUGCCAUCCCUGCCAUCCCUGCCAUCCCUCCGUCCCUGCCAUCCCUGCCAUCCCUGCCAUCCCUGCCAUCACUGCUGUCCUUGUCAUUUCUGCUGUCCCUGCCCUCCCUGCCAUCCCUGCCAGCCGUCCCUGCCAUCCCUGCCAUCCCUGCCAUCCCUGCCAUCACUGCUGUCCUUGUCAUUUCUGCUGUCCCUGCCAUCCCUGCCAUCCCUGCCAGCACUGCCAUCUCUGCCAUCCCUGCCACCCCUGCCAGCCUUGCCAUCCCUGCCAGCCCUGCCAUCCCUGCCAUCUCUGCCGUCCGUGCCAUCUCUGCCAGCCCUGCCAUCCCUGCUGUCCCUGCCAGCCUUGCUGUCCCUGCCAUCCCUGCCAUCUCUGCCAUUUCUGCCAUCUCUGCCAUCCCUGCCAUCCCUCCCAUCCCUCCCAUCCCUGCCAUGGGCUUUCCCAGCUGGGCUGGGGGCACAGCCUCUCCAUGUGGCACCGGCACCACGGGCAGGCUGCCGAGGGACGAGGACAUCGCCCAGCUGGCCUUGGCGAAGGGAAGGGGUCCCUGGUGGGUCCCUGCCACCGGGCGCGGCGAAGCCAACUCCUUUCUCUGCCCGUUCCUCCCCCCGUUUGGCAUUUGGCAGCGGAGCCGUGGCGGCGGCUGGGGCGCGCCGUGCCGGUGCCAGGGGGGGGGGGGGGGGGGGGGGGGGGGGGGGGGGGGGGGGGGGGGGGGGGGGGGGGGGGGGGGGGGGGGGGGGGGGGGGGGGGGGGGGGGGGGGGGGAAGCCUCGGCAGCCCCCCACGGCCCCCCGGCCCCCCGUGCCAAGGCUGGUGGCUGGCAGAAGGGCUGCCUGCGCCUGGCAGGGCUCCGUCAGCUGCGGGAGGAUCCCUGUGCCGCGCUCGCUGCCAAUUUCCCUGCGAGCUGGCACCGCAGGCGGCUCCGGAGGCACCGGCAGAGAAGGCUGGGGAGGACGGAUUGUGA
rnacentral:lncRNA from 1 species